GGAUGGCCCAAAGGUAGUGAGUUAUCACAAUUGAUUGUUCACAGUUAUAGACUGAAUUCCCUGUUUGACUCUUUUGCUACCCUCUCACUACUGCACUUGACCAGUUUUAA
ensembl:misc_RNA Y_RNA Y RNA